AGCGGANGAAAAGAAACCAACCGGGAUUGCCUCAGUAACGGCGAGUGAAGCGGCAAGAGCUCAAAUUUGAAAUCUGGCCCCUCCGGGGUCCGAGUUGUAAUUUGCAGAGGAUGCUUCGGGUGCGGCCCCUGUCUAAGUGCCCUGGAACGGGCCGUCAGAGAGGGUGAGAAUCCCGUCUUGGGCAGGGUGCCCGUGCCCGUGUGAAGCUCCUUCGACGAGUCGAGUUGUUUGGGAAUGCAGCUCUAAAUGGGUGGUAAAUUUCAUCUAAAGCUAAAUACCGGCCGGAGACCGAUAGCGCACAAGUAGAGUGAUCGAAAGAUGAAAAGCACUUUGAAAAGAGAGUUAAACAGCACGUGAAAUUGUUGAAAGGGAAGCGCUUGCGACCAGACUCGGCCCCGGGGUUCAGCCAGCACUCGUGCUGGUGUACUUCCCCGGGGGCGGGCCAGCGUCGGUUUGGGCGGCCGGUCAAAGGCCCCAGGAAUGUGUCGCCCUCCGGGGCGUCUUAUAGCCUGGGGUGCAAUGCGGCCAGCCCGGACCGAGGAACGCGCUUCGGCACGGACGCUGGCGUAAUGGUCGCAAACGACCCGUCUUGAAACACGGACCAAGGAGUCUAACAUCUACGCGAGUGUUCGGGUGUCAAACCCGUACGCGCAGUGAAAGCGAACGGAGGUGGGAGCCCCGCAAGGGGCGCACCAUCGACCGAUCCUGAUGUCUUCGGAUGGAUUUGAGUAAGAGCGUAGCUGUGGGGACCCGAAAGAUGGUGAACUAUGCCUGAAUAGGGCGAAGCCAGAGGAAACUCUGGUGGAGGCUCGCAGCGGUUCUGACGUGCAAAUCGAUCGUCAAAUUUGGGUAUAGGGGCGAAAGACUAAUCGAACCAUCUGGUAGC
rnacentral:rRNA from 1 species